UACGUAGGGUGCGAGCGUUGUCCGGAAUUAUUGGGCGUAAAGAGCUCGUAGGCGGUUUGUCGCGUCGGCCGUGAAAACUUGGGGCUUAACUCCAAGCUUGCGGUCGAUACGGGCAGACUUGAGUUCGGCAGGGGAGACUGGAAUUCCUGGUGUAGCGGUGAAAUGCGUAGAUAUCUGGAGGAAUACCGGUGGCGAAGGCGGCAUCCUGGACCGGCAUUGACGCUGAUGAGCGAAAGCUAGGGGAGCAAACGGG
rnacentral:rRNA from 1 species